rnacentral:tRNA from 1 species
GGGCGGUUAACUCAGUGGGAGAGUGCCAUCCUCACACGGUGGAAGUCACUGGUUCGAAUCCAGUACCGCCCA